GCCGGGCGAGGUGGCUCACGCCUGUAAUCCCAGCACUUCGGGAGGCCGAGAUGGGAGGAUUGCUUGAGGCCAGGAGUUCGAGAUCAGCCUGGGCAACACAGCAAGAUCCCAUCUCUA
rnacentral:sRNA from 1 species